GUGUCAGCAGCCGCGGUAAUACGUAGGGGGCAAGCGUUGUCCGGAAUCACUGGGCGUAAAGGGCGCGUAGGCGGCCCGGCAAGUCGAUGGUGAAAGCUCGCGGCUCAACUGCGAGUCGGCCACUGAUACUGCUGGGCUAGAGCACUGUAGAGGCAGAUGGAAUUCCGGGUGUAGCGGUGGAAUGCGUAGAGAUCCGGAAGAACACCGGUGGCGAAGGCGGUCUGCUGGGCAGUUGCUGACGCUGAGGCGCGACAGCGUGGGGAGCAAACAGGAUUAGAAACCCUAGUAGUCC
rnacentral:rRNA from 1 species